rnacentral:lncRNA from 1 species
UACCAUACAACAGCUCAAAAGGUGGCAUACCAAUGCUCGAAUGAUGGCUGUUGUUGUAGGAAAACUCUGCCAAGGGUAAAUACGCAUCCCAACUACCCCCGAAGUCUAACACACACGCUCGGAGCAUGUCCUCCAGCGUCUGAAUCGUCCGCUCGCUCUGACCGUCUGUCUGGGGAUGGUAUGCGGUACUAAAAUGCAAUUUAGUACCCAGCUCCUCAUGGAAUUUCUUCCAGAACCUGGAAGUGAAGCGCACAUCACGGUCUGAAACAAUCGAGAUCGGCACCCCAUGCCGAGAUACCACUUCUCUCACAUAUAUCUCCGCCAACUUCUCCGCUGAAGAACUCUCGCUGAUGGCAAGGAAGUGUGCACUCUUCGUCAACCUAUCCACAAUCACCCAAAUUGCAUCAACUCCCCUGGCAGUCCUCGGCAAUUUGGUGAUGAAAUCCAUAGUGAUCUGUUCCCACUUCCACUCGGGAAUCUCCAAUGGCUGUAACUUGCCAUGCGGUCUCUGGUGCUCGGCCUUAACCCUACGGCAGGUCAAGCACCUCUCAACGAACCAUGCAACGUCCCUCUUCAUACAGGGCCACCAAUACUCUUUCCUCAAAUCCAAAUACAUCUUCGUAGCACCGGGAUGGAUCGAGAAUUUCGAUCUAUGAGCCUCUUCCAUCAAAGUAAUACGCGUACCGCCCACGAACGGUACCCAAAUCCGACCCUGAAACGUCAGAAGCCCUCGUCCAUCCUUAACGAACUCUGAAAUUAACCCAACGACCCGCUCUUUCUUCUGCAUCUCUGGUCGCACAGCCUCGGCCUGUGCCCCACGAAUAGCAUCCAAUACUGGAGUCAUCACAGUCAGUCUCAAGCAUACAUCUCGCAAUGGAGUGCUCUCCGCCCUGCGGCUCAACGCAUCGGCUACCACAUUAGCCUUGCCUGGGUGGUACAGGAUCUCACAAUCAUAAUCCUUGACCACAUCCAACCACCUCCUCUGACGCAUAUUUAGGUUGGGCUGAUCCAUCAAAUACUUCAAGCUCUUAUGGUCCGUGUAUAUCGUACAUCGAACCCCAUACAAGUAGUGACGCCAAAUCUUGAGAGCGAACACUACUGCCCCCAACUCUAAAUCAUGCGUGGGAUAUCUCGCCUCAUGAGGCUUCAGCUGCCUCGACGCAUAAGCUAUCACAUGACCCCUCUGCAUCAACACUGCACCCAGUCCCGAAAUCGAUGCGUCGCAAUAUACUACAAAAUCUUCCAUCCCUUCCGGGAGAGCUAAUACCGGGGCUUCGCACAACCUCUGGCGAAGUGUCUCAAAGGAGGUCUGCUGCUCGGGCCCCCAUGAGAAUGCAACACCCUUCCGGGUCAAUCUGGUGAGCGGCACUGCGAUCUUGGAGAAAUCCUUAAUGAAUCUCCGAUAAUACCCUGCCAACCCAAGGAAGCUCCUGAUCUCAGAGGGUGACUUCGGCACCUCCCAACUCAUCACCGCCUCAACCUUGGCCGGAUCGACCAAUAUCCCUUUCUGAUUAACAACAUGUCCUAGAAAUUGGACCUCCCGCAACCAGAAGUCACAUUUGGAGAACUUUGCAUAAAGCUUCUCCGACCUCAAUACCUCAAGGACCUCCCUCAAAUGCUCCUCAUGCUGCUCUCUAGAUCUCGAAUACACCAGAAUGUCGUCGAUAAAUACAAUCACUGACCGAUCCAACAUCGGCCUGCAUACCCUGUUCAUGAGAUCCAUGAACACAGCCGGGGCAUUGGUGAGCCCGAAAGGCAUCACCACAAACUCAUAAUGCCCAUAUCGCGUCCUAAACGCUGUCUUCUGGACAUCCUCAUCCCGUACUCUCACCUGAUGGUACCCUGACCUCAGAUCGAUCUUGGAAAACCAAGACGCUCCCUGCAACUGAUCGAAUAAAUCAUCGAUCCUCGGUAACGGGUAACGGUUCUUGACCGUCAACUUGUUCAACUCCCGGUAAUCAAUGCACAUCCGGUGUGAACCAUCCUUCUUCUUGACGAACAGAAUAGGUGCUCCCCACGGCGAGCUGCUCGGCCGAAUGAAUCCCUUCCCCAGCAACUCCUGGAGCUGCGAGGACAACUCUUGCAUCUCUGGAGGUGCAAGACGAUAAGGCACCUUAGCAAUAGGCGCGGCCCCCGGAACCAGAUCGAUACCAAACUCUACUUGCCUCACAGGAGGUACUCCCGGCAGCUCCUCGGGGAAAACAUCUGGAAACUCACGCACCACAGGGACCUCCUCAACUGACUUCGGUCUCUCGGAAACCUCCCGCGUAUCCAUCACAUACGCCACAAAACCCUUACAGCCCUGCUGUAGACACUGCCUCGCCCUAGCGGCCGAACAAAAAGCUGAUCCCGAACGGGUACCCUCGCCGUACACCGAAAGAACUCCCCCACUAGGGUCUCGUAUAGUCACCAACUGACGCUCACAGUCGAUGACAGCGCCGAAUCGGCUCAACCAGUCCAUGCCCACGAUGACACAGACAUCACCCAUCGCAAUAGGAAUCAGGUCAAUCGGGAAUUCAACCCCGAAAAUCUCUAGUACACAUCCCCGAAGAACCUCCGUGGCACAAAUCACUUUCUCGUCAGCUAUAGAAACUCUCAAAGGUCGACUCAACGACUCACGACUAACGCUGAUAUGCUGACUAAAGGCUAAGGACACAAAGGACCUACUCGCACCCGAGUCAAAUAACACUAAGGCAGGCACAGAGUUCACAAGGAAAGUACCUACGCAUAUAAUAACAUAAGCAUAACAUCUCGACAUUAAAAUAAAUACAUGAAUUACAACAUACCUGCCACAACAUCGGGCGCAGCGCGGACCUCCUCCGCAGUCAGCUGAAAGGCUCUUCCCCGAGCCCUCGGGGCCUCGGCCUUCACCGGUCGAGUCGCAGUAGCUCCGGCAGCAGGUGCAGAUCCCUGAAGAAGCUGAGGGCACUCGGCCUUCCUAUGGCCUGUCUGGUUGCAAUGAAAGCAAACCGUAAAUCCCUUGGGACACUCCCUAGCAAUGUGCCCCUCCUUGCCACACUUGUAGCAAGCACCAGAUCGACAUACUCCAUCAUGACUCUUGCCGCACUUCCCGCAAGUGCGACCCUUCGAACCUCCUGUCCUCGAAUCAGCGGACUUGGUCCGCUUGGCUGCCGGCUGGGACUGAGCCGGUCGCCGGUCCACCCGCUGAGACUCGGCCUCCUCCCUGGCCUGGGUCUCCAACUCGAUCUCGCGCUUCCUGGCAUUCGCCUGAAGCUCAGCAAAAGUAUGGUAAGUGGAGUUUGACACAAACUCCCGGAUAUCCCUCCUCAACACUCCCAAGUACCGGCUCAUCCGAGCCUGAUCAGUGGACACCAGCUCGGGGCAGAACAUCGCCCUCUCAUGAAACUUCCGCGUGAUCACCGCAACAGAAUCAGUACCCUGCUUGAGGGUUAAGAACUCCUGAACCAAUCGUUCCCUCUCCACCGGGGGAACGUACUCGUCCCUGAACAUAGCAGUAAACCCCUCCCAUGUCACUGCUGUAGUCUCUGCCAAAGUGAAGUUCGCCGUCACGAACUUCCACCAGUCCUUCGCUCCCAGACGGAGCUGGUUCAAAGCGAACCGUACCCUCAGGUGCUCCGGGCAUGAACAAGUGUAGAAGCACCCCUCUAUAUCCGCGAUCCACCUCAUCGCAGCAAUCGGAUCCUGCGUCCCAUCGAACUCUGGUGGCUUCGUGUUGCUGAACUCUCGGAACAGCAACGAGUCACCCCCCUGUGGCCUAGCAGCGGCCACAGCUGCGGUAGCUGCAGCGGUUGCAGCCUCAGUCAAUGCGGCGUACCGCUCAUCAAACGUCUCCAUCAGGGUGGUCUUAAUAGACCCAAACAUCUCCGGGAUCUCAGCCCGGAUCGCCGCAGCUACCUCCUCGUGAAUCAUCUGACGAAUCUCCUCGUCACUCACACCGCUCGAACUCGCUCCGUGGCGUGGUCUAACCAUGAUGUCUCUGAAAUACAACAUAAAACUAUCAGAGACUCCAUCGAGUAUAAUCGCACUCGAUAACGCAACCCUACUCAGUCUCCGAUAUCCAGGGAUUCUUACUUGGGUCUCCCACUGACCCGGUGUCUUCGGUAGUACGGGCCCAAUACUACCGACCACACCGCAUCAGCAUUCAUCCCAAGUCUUCCUCCCCAAACCCCGGAUAGUGAGUACUCUACUUCUGUUAUGCACUAUCUACCCGCACACUAGCAAAGCAUCUCAUAUCGGCAAACUUCCCUAGACUAAGGCAUCACAAAUCAGGCCACUCUAGUCCUAUCAUGAAUACCUAGUCUUCUAGCAUGCAUAACAAUUUAUAUCAUAUAAUAUUGUAAGGUAUUUUGGGGAUCUUUACCGUUCGGGCGCUGACUGAUCGUACACACUGCUUCUUUCUUGCUUACCACAAAACCAUUUACAAAAGUUUAUGCCUUUAUUUAAAAAGUUUUCCUCAAAUCCUCGGUUUGAGUUCAGUUACUCCCGAAGGUGCACCCGAAUCCCUCAAACCAAGGCUCUGAUACCAAUUGUAACAACGCAAAUUUUCAAACAAAUUUUUCAUUUUAAAAAUAGAGUAUUUUCAUUCAAAACAAGGCAUAAAUAAUUUAAGUGUCAUGUCAAAUACAAACUGUCUAAAUCCCAAGAUCAUAAAAACAUUCUUCAGUGUGUAUCGAUCACGCCGGCGCCUUCCCACGGUCCUCGCUAGUACCUGAAACACAUACAUAACAACUGUAAGCAUAAAUGCUUAGUGAGUUCCCCAAUAUACAACUUACGCACAUACGCCUUUCCAGGCCCUGACCUUCCGGUCCUCAACACAACGCCUUCCGGCCCAUAACAUAAUCGCCUUCCGGCCCAUAACAUAUUGCCUUCCGGCCCACAUAACAUACAUAGCACAUAUAACAAAUAACUUACCACAUAUAGCAUACAUAUCACAUAUCAUAUCUGACCUUCCGGUCACACAGUCAAACCCUUCCGGGUACAGUAUAGUGAGAAGACUCACCUCGUGAAUGCUGAAAGCUAGCAAAUCCUGAAAUCACUCGUGCACAAUCCGACGAGCUACAACCUCCCUAUAACAUCACAUAUCUCUCAUUAACACUUAUAUCUUCUAAGUGUGACUAUCCCUAAGAAGUCAGACUUAGGUCAACUCUGGUCAACGGUCAACGGUCAACUCGACCGGACUCGGCGAGUGCCAUGGCGACUCGGCGAGUCUAGACGUCCUCCAACUCUCUGAGAUUCCCUUUCUACUCGUCGAGUAUCCUCCUUGACCCGACGAGUUACUCCUGGAAGAAUCGCGGGGCCACCCCGACUCAACUCGCCGAGUCUGAAGAACAACUCGACGAGUCCCAGUUAAUCUUCAAGCUACUCGCCGAGUCUGUUCAUCGAACUCGGCGAGUCCAUGCCAUGCAACCGCUCAAACUGCAUCCUAAGGUCAGAACUGCUUCGACCAUUCCUAGGUCUGGCCUUCCUAGGCUGAUCCAUCACGUAAAGUCCUCAUUUCAGUGCUCAUGAUACACCAUAUGAUUCAUAAUUUACAUUUUGACCUAAGGCAUAAGGAUUCCAAUCCAAAACCUUCAUCAAUUCCCGAAAUGCACAGACAUGGGACAUUCUGGACCUCCAAAGGUCCCAAUACAGGGUUACAAUCGAUUAGGGGACUAGGGUAACAUUCAAUCUAUUCACAAAAGGGUUCCAUAAACCCUAAUUCCAUAAUCACAUCAACAUAGCAGAGUAUACUCGAAUUCUUACCUGGAUGAUGUAUCCUCUGUGUCCCCAAUCCUCAGAAUGUGACUCCCUUGCUGCUCCUUUAGCCAAUCCCUUCUCUUCCUUGCACAACCACUCUUCUAUAAUCAACAAUGGCCUAUAAUCCUUGCUCCAGAUGCACACAAUCGAUUUAGGGUUCUUCUCAGAAGGCUAAAAUGAACAAUGACGGCCAAUAAGUCCCUUUUAUACGUCCCAAACCUGAACGGUUAGGGUUUUCGCUAAACAGCGUAGACUCGCCGAGUCCAUAUCUGGACUCGUCGAGUCCAGUCGCGAACCCGCGACCAAGUCUGCGAUCCUACUCGGCGAGUCUAGGCUCCAACUCGCCGAGUCCCCUCUUAAAUCACCCCAAAAACAUAAUUUAACAAUACCUGAGAUUCCGGGCUGUUACAACUCUCCCCCACUAGGAUUAGACUUCGCCCUCGAAGUCUCACUCUGAAAAUAGUUCCGGAUGCUGCUCCCGCAUCUCACGUUCCGGCUCCCAAGUCAUUUCCGAUCCCUUACGGUGUUGCCACUGAACCAACACCAGAGGUACCUCCUUGUUCCUCAGAACCUUGAUCUUCCGAUCCCUGAUGGCCACUGGUCUCUCAGCAUAAUUCAGGCUCGCAUCCACCUGAAUAUCCUCUAAUGGAACCACUGCCGACUCAUCGGCUAUGCACUUCCUCAAUUGCGACACAUGAAAGGUGUCGUGGAUCUGUCCCAACUCCGCUGGCAACUCCAACCGAUAGGCUACCCGGCCUAUCCUUGCACUCACACGAAAUGGCCCAAUAUACCAGGGACCCAACUUGCCCCUCUUCCUGAAUCGAAUCACUCCUUUCCAAGGAGAGACCUUCAGGAGAACGAAGUCGCCGACCUGAAAUUCAAGCUCGGAUCGGCGCCUGUCUGCAUAACUCUUCUGCCGGCUCUGGGCGGUCAAUAACCUUUGUCUCACUUGCUGAAUCUGCUCUGUCGUCUGGAGCACGAUCUCCGUGCUGCCCAUCACUCUCUGUCCCACCUCUCCCCAGCAAAUGGGGGUCCGACACCUCCUACCAUACAACAGCUCAAAAGGUGGCAUACCAAUGCUCGAAUGAUGGCUGUUGUUGUAGGAAAACUCUGCUAAGGGUAAAUAUGCAUCCCAGCUACCCCCGAAGUCUAACACACACGCUCGAAGCAUGUCCUCCAGUGUCUGAAUCGUCCGCUCGCUCUGACCGUCUGUCUGGGGAUGGUAUGCGGUAUUUUGUAUGCUAUUUAUAUGAUGUGAUACACUGCAUUAUUUCUAUGUGAUUUAUGCUAUAUAUGUUUCAGAGUUUACAGAGUUAGGACUGGAAGGUCCACAGAGUUAGGACUAGAGGGUCCAUAGAGUUAUGGGACUAGAGGGUCCCACUGAGACACAUUAACCAGAGGGUCAAACAGAGUUAUAGCCUCGAGUGGCUCAUAUGUGUUGUAUGUGGUAUCUUGGGGAACUCACUAAGCUCCGUGCUUACCGUGUUAUGUGUUAUGUGUUUCAGGUUUUCCUCUCGGAAUCGCGGGACGACACCGACUUCAUUGUACACUCCAGAGAAGGAGUUAUGAGGAUCCUGGAUUAUU